CCACGGACCACAGACAGAGCUCAGAGAACUGCAACAACCUCACCAAAUUCACCAGAAGGAGCUGGACGUCGUGAUGACAAUGUGGAACACCGGGAUCCAGCCAGGCACUAAAAGAUACGAUCCCUUCCAUGGAAAACCUUUCCUCUGUAUCAUGUACCAGAACUUUACCGAGCACAGGACGACCUCCAGCCAGUGGACAGAGGGAACAUUGUCUUGGAAGAGGACAUCUGUCUUUGGAAAACUGACUUUGUCUGUGAUCCAUAUCUUCACCAGCUCUGCCUUGUGGUCAUAAAUAAACUGAAUCUUGAGGCAGGUCAUAAUGCUGCUGAGGCAACCAGACUGUACAGACAGCUGAAGACUUAAUGAGAACACAGCUGUCAGUCAGAUUAACCCCCACCUACCAAAACUGUUGCCACAACAGCCAAUAUUAAAAACUUUAGCCUACCGCUUUGAGCACACUUCCAUUUCCAGUGUUUCAUACACCCCUGUUUUCUGAUUUUUUUUCUUUUUUUACAGUGUUAGUUUGUAUGAAACAUAUUGUAAGAGCCAUUGUAAUAUAGUCAGUUCGGUGCUUGUUGCAUCAUUUAGGUAAUGGAUUGAUCUUAUAGUUUAAAUGAACAGGUAAGUGUGGAGGCAAUAUUUUAUGUUAAGCUGGUGUCCUGCUUCUAGCAAUCAGCUUGAUUCUCCACAGGUUGCUGCUGCCUGCGAGGCCCGCAGAGGGGCAGGCUGAAAGCUUAUUUGUAAAGGUGCUGGAUGGGAGGAGGAGUUCAGUUGAAAAAAGUUUUUGACCGUGCAGCACAAGCGUGGAAAGAGGGAAUAU